rnacentral:snRNA from 1 species
GUGUUUACUUCGGCAGCACAUAUACUAAAAAAAUUGGAAUGACACAGAGAAGACUAGCAUGGCCCCUGCACAAGGAUGACAUGCAAAUUCAUGAAGUAUUCCAUAUAUUU